rnacentral:rRNA from 1 species
UAGGGAAUAUUGGUCAAUGGGGGCAACCCUGAACCAGCCAUGCCGCGUGUAGGAAGACGGCCUUCUGGGUUGUAAACUACUUUUAUAUGGGAAGAAAUGAUCCUUGCGAGGAUAGCUGACGGUACCAUACGAAUAAGCACCGGCUAACUCCGUGCCAGCAGCCGCGGUAAUACGGAGGGUGCAAGCGUUGUCCGGAAUUAUUGGGUUUAAAGGGUGCGUAGGCGGUCUUUUAAGUCAGAGCUGAAAUCCCACUGCUUAACAGUGGAACUGGCUUUGAUACUGGAAGACUUGAGUAUAGUAGAGGUAGGCGGAAUUUAUGGUGUAGCGGUGAAAUGCAUAGAUACCAUAAAGAACACCAAUUGCGUAGGCAGCUUACUGGGCUAUAACUGACGCUGAGGCACGAAAGCGUGGGGAGCGAACA